ensembl:snoRNA SNORA70 Small nucleolar RNA SNORA70
CUGUGUCACCAUGCCCAGCAUAAGAUUUUAUUUGCUCCUCCUGUACAAUGGCUGCAAACAGCAACCUCCUUGGUAGUGUAUGCAGCCUGUUGCAUAUAUAUGGACUGCUCUAAGGGACCUUGGAGACAGUU